rnacentral:rRNA from 1 species
AACGCGAAGAACCUUACCUACCUUUGACAUCCUCAGAAUAUUUAAGAAAUUAGAUAGUGCCGCAAGGAACUGAGAGACAGGUGCUGCAUGGCUGUCGUCAGCUCGUGUCGUGAGAUGUUGGGUUAAGUCCCGUAACGAGCGCAACCCCUAUAUUUAAUUGCUAGUAAUGAAAAUUAAGUACAUUAAAUAGACUGCCGGUGAUAAACCGGAGGAAGGUGGGGAUGACGUCAAGUCCUCAUGGCCCUUAUAGGUAGGGCUACACACGUGCUACAAUGGGCAGUACAGAGGGAAGCAAAGUCGCGAGACCAAGCAAACCUCAGAAAGCUGCUCGUAGUCCGGAUUGGAGUCUGCAACUCGACUCCAUGAAGUUGGAAUCGCUAGUAAUCGCGGAUCAGAACGCUGCGGUGAAUACGUUCCCGGGCCUUGUACACACCGGCUAC